rnacentral:rRNA from 1 species
CCUACGGGAGGCCGCAGUGGGGAAUAUUGCACAAUGGGCGCAAGCCUGAUGCAGCGACGCCGCGUGAGGGAUGACGGCCUUCGGGUUGUAAACCUCUUUCAGCAGGGAAGAAGCGAAAGUGACGGUACCUGCAGAAGAAGCGCCGGCUAACUACGUGCCAGCAGCCGCGGUAAUACGUAGGGCGCAAGCGUUGUCCGGAAUUAUUGGGCGUAAAGAGCUCGUAGGCGGCUUGUCGCGUCGGUUGUGAAAGCCCGGGGCUUAACCCCGGGUCUGCAGUCGAUACGGGCAGGCUAGAGUUCGGUAGGGGAGAUCGGAAUUCCUGGUGUAGCGGUGAAAUGCGCAGAUAUCAGGAGGAACACCGGUGGCGAAGGCGGAUCUCUGGGCCGAUACUGACGCUGAGGAGCGAAAGCGUGGGGAGCGAACAGGAUUAGAUACCCUGGUAGUCCACGCCGUAAACGGUGGGCACUAGGUGUGGGCAACAUUCCACGUUGUCCGUGCCGCAGCUAACGCAUUAAGUGCCCCGCCUGGGGAGUACGGCCGCAAGGCUAAAACUCAAAGGAAUUGACGG